CAUCUUGGUCCGGCCGCGCCGGGCAGGCGCCGGUGAUCCCGGCACAAGCCCGCGGAACCGGGGGCGGCUCGGUGUGUUCGUCCUUGUGCCUUAGCCCAGCUGCGUAUCUGCGUGUGUAUCUGUGUAUUUCACAUUCGUACAGCACUUCUCAUCUUUGUGUAGUCAAACGCCCAGGCAGACCAGCGCUUCAUUUCUGAUGAGAAGGCAGCCAUCCAAAAAUCAGCUUAAUGAAAAUGCUGUAUCUCACUGCGCUAUUCCCACCGUACGCCACUGAUGAACGAGAGCUCUGCACGAGACGUAAACCAAAGACCCUGGAAUCAGCAUCGCGUGCGGCACAAGCUCUGUUCCCUUCUUACAUCGCAAAGUCAUAAGAUGGAGCAUGGAUCCCUGCUUGGCUGUUGGCAUAAGAUAGUAUGUCCUCAGCCACGAUGGUUGGAAUUCACCUUCCCUAACCCUUACCAUCUAAAAGUUAAGAUGAGGUUAAUGUACAGUCUAAAGUACAACAGCUGGUCCCUUCUUCAGUUUGUGGAGAAGACCCCGUCUCUAGUACUAGUGAAAUAGUAACCGUAUGCCUACCACCUUUUCCCACGACCCAGACGUUAAGUAUGGGUUAUGAUCUCAUUCCCAGGAACCACGGAAAUACAAGAAGUGGUAGUACAUGAGUAUGAACAAGUAGAAUAUAGACCCUUAUUCUUCCUGAGGAAAGUUCAACUUUAAAUUUGGCUCCGGGGAAUCAGGAAUGGUUUAUCUUCUGCUGGUACUUGUCUCAUCCUGUAGAAUAAACUGACAUUGAAAUGCUUUG